UGGGGAAUUUUGGACAAUGGGCGAAAGCCUGAUCCAGCAAUGCCGCGUGUGUGAAGAAGGCCUUCGGGUUGUAAAGCACUUUUGUCCGGAAAGAAAUCCUUGGCUCUAAUACAGUCGGGGGAUGACGGUACCGGAAGAAUAAGCACCGGCUAACUACGUGCCAGCAGCCGCGGUAAUACGUAGGGUGCAAGCGUUAAUCGGAAUUACUGGGCGUAAAGCGUGCGCAGGCGGUUUGCUAAGACCGAUGUGAAAUCCCCGGGCUCAACCUGGGAACUGCAUUGGUGACUGGCAGGCUAGAGUAUGGCAGAGGGGGGUAGAAUUCCACGUGUAGCAGUGAAAUGCGUAGAGAUGUGGAGGAAUACCGAUGGCGAAGGCAGCCCCCUGGGCCAAUACUGACGCUCAUGCACGAAAGCGUGGGGAGCAAACAGGAUUAGAUACCCUGGUAGUCCACGCCCUAAACGAUGUCAACUAGUUGUUGGGGAUUCAUUUCCUUAGUAACGUAGCUAACGCGUGAAGUUGACCGCCUGGGGAGUACGGUCGCAAGAUUAAAACUCAAAUAAUUGACGGGGUCAUAGCUGUUUCCU
rnacentral:rRNA from 1 species